CAGCAGCCACGGUAAUACGUAGGUCCCGAGCGUUGUCCGGAUUUAUUGGGCGUAAAGCGAGCGCAGGCGGUUAGAUAAGUCUGAAGUUAAAGGCUGUGGCUUAACCAUAGUACGCUUUGGAAACUGUUUAACUUGAGUGCAAGAGGGGAGAGUGGAAUUCCAUGUGUAGCGGUGAAAUGCGUAGAUAUAUGGAGGAACACCGGUGGCGAGAGCGGCUCUCUGGCUUGUAACUGACGCUGAGGCUCAAAAGCGUGGGGAGCAAACAGGAUUAGAUACCCCAGUAGUCCCUGUCUCUUAUACC
rnacentral:rRNA from 1 species